CUUGUAACCUGCUCAUCUGUCUUGAUGGCUGUGGUGAGAAUCAUUGUCUUCGCGUAAUGAGUCUCAAAUGCUGCUCUAAGCCUCGCCAAUCAAAACAGGGGUUUUGGUCAAUCUAUUCCGUGUAAAUUCACCACACUUAACAACAGCAACAACAUUACAAUGUCUACGGAUUGAUCGUUACCAAUUGUCGGUCAAUCGCGCCGCAUGCCUUUUGGAUGCUCCGCUGGGCGCAAGCUGCUUUUGCCUAAUUAAUGUACCCGAUAUCACCUCAGAAACACCACCCAAUUAUAUCACCCUAGAUCAUUAUCAACAUUGCCAUAAAGACCCUGAUCACCGGUAUUAGGAACCCUAAGAAGGAUACGCUCAUUCUCUUACAAGACACUCAUGAUGAUCUCCCGUUAUCAUGAAGGCCGAUCGACUAUGAGUGCCUAAUGAUCGUGAACCACUCACAAGGUCAACCGAUCAAGAUCGAUAAAUGCAAUGCCAAUGCUACAUUCCACCAUCAGUUAUCGGUUAUUCGUCAAGCAGACAGUGUGAUACGUGAUACCCGGAGUGAAGAAUUCUAUCUACAAUUGUGUUUGGAUGGUCUGACCGAUAGCGCAGUGAAAAGUGAUUGUUUCGUAAUAGCAAUGGCUCUAGUGUUACUCCCAAUAAUGGAGUAGAAAAGUAGAAGUUUGAGAUCGGCCUUUCUUUGAUACCAGCAUGUUUCAUGGUGAAGGUGGUGAUAUCGAGUGGUGGUGUCGUCAAUGGCGUGCGAAGCAGCGGGGUGGCCGGCAUGGCGCUGGUAGUCUUUCCCCCCAAUCUGUCCGGACAGGCCUGGACGAUUUGCAGACGCCGUGGGAUACACAACCACACUAUCAUCACUCCCACAGAACCCUAGGUUAAGUUCAUCAAUAAAUGUAAGUAAACACUAUUUGAUCACUCCACUUUAUUAUGUGAGGCGGGAAUUCCUCUUUUGAUCUGGGAUGGCUCGAUUGUUCUCUUUUUCAGCGAUGGUUCCGCUUUUUUUUCGAACCUAGUUCUAUGCUACGAGUCAAGUAUAUGGGUCGGGGGACCAAUACUCGUAGAAACCAUUCUAUUUUACUCAAAUUUGUCUCCAAGUCUCAUGCGCCCUCUGCGGAGUGG